UCUUUGGAACGUCCCGGAGUGGGGACUGGUGUCUGAAUCAGCAACCAGAUGGUGAAGUCCUUCAGGCACAGAGCUUCUCUCUCAGGAUCCAUGGACAGCCUGGCUGCUCACUCCAACAUGGCAUGGGAUGCAGAGCUUGCAGGAUAGGUGGUGCAGGGCUCCUGGGCUAGGGGGCAGCUUAGCAGUGUCUUGAUCACCCUGGGCUAUGUGUGGGAUAAAGGAAGACCUGGCUUCUGGCACAAGCAGCUCCUGAACACUCAGACACUCUGCAAAUGGAGGAGGGCAAGCUGCUGUGCGUGACCAAGGAAACGGAGAGCGGGCUGCCCUUGUGAACUUGCCGAGUGCCUGAUGGAGAUCGGGAGGAGAGGAGAGCUGGGGGAGCAGGAAAAACAUUACUUCUCUCCUGCUUAUUGGCCGAGGCAAGAUUGAUUGACUGCACUGGCGGUAGCGUAGCAGGCGCCAAGACAGGAGAAACGUGGCGGCUGGAAAGAUGGACAACUCCAUCGUUUCAUUCUGCUUCAUGCAGAGCUACCAUUACCUUGCUGGAUAUUUCGUGGGAGGUUUGAUGGUCUGAGCCUGCAGGCUUCGGGACCGUCGACAGUGUGCUAAUGUAAAGUUGCUUGAGCUUAUGGAAGAUUUUUGAAGGCCUGGAUUCCAUGUGUUGAGACUGGCACCAUAUCAGAGGAACAGCUGAGUAUAUGGAGCAGGGAAGCUACGUGUGAGUUAUCCAGCAAGGAGAGAAUCCGCCUGGGGCUGCGAUCCUGGGUGCUGGAAUGAGGAGGGGAGGCAGCGGUCCCAGCUGGUCCUCCCCCACCACGCAGACAGGCUGGGGUUUUGCUCCACAAGAGCAGGAUUAUCAUGUUGGUGGACAGUGUCCUGGGCAGCUUUGUCCUGUUUAUUUGCAGGCUAGGCAGGGCCAGGGGUAUGUGGAGGCCAGGCUGGGAUGUGCUGCGGGGGGCAAGGAGGAAUGUGGAUCUUCCCUCUGCUGUGGGACAGUGCUGCCUUAGCAAGUGCCAGCCCUCAGAAGUGGCUCUGGGGCUACAGGGAGAGGAUAUUUAGAAAAUCUAAUUUUAGCUGAGUCAGCUCUUCCCUAGGGUGUCCAGGAGGGAGAAGCUUCUGCCCAGACGAGCUGGCUGCCCUGCUCACAGGGAAGGAGACCAGCUUGAUGCCUUCAGCCACCACCUGGAAACCCCCUGGGGGCAGUGCUAAAGGGAUGAACAUUUCCUCACCAACUCCCAAGCUGCUCUGACAAAGAUCCCAGGAAUACCCAGGUCUGCAGCGAGGUGCUGCCCCACCACCAGAGAUUUCAUUCACCCAUGUAGGGCAGAGAUAAUUGUCCCCCCGCUAUCCAGAUUCACUGCCUGCCCCCCUGCAGGAGGCACUAAAGCAGAAAUAGUCAGGGCAGAGCCCAGAAUAUCUGAAUGGAUCCUGGUGCAGUGUCUGGAAGGGUUGGAUCAAUCCAAGCUCCCUUCCACGGUGGUGCUGACUCACCAGGACAGGCAAGGAGCUCAGCAACUCUGGAGCCAUGUAUGAACCAGUGGCAGCUGGAGGGUGCCUGGGAAGGGAGGAUUGGAUCGACAGGCAGGUGAAAAAGCUUUUGUGACAACCAGCUUUGAGCUCUUGCAAACACGACAAGCCCCCCUGAACUGGUUUUCCUGGGAGCUGCCAUGACCAGCAGCAUGCUGCUGCUGGGGACAAGCUGGUGCCUUUGUCUUUCCUGGCUGAGUGAACAAGCUGAUGGCUUUAGGUACAGUUACCAGCAUCCUUCCUUCUGGAGCAGGUCAGCCCUGGCUGCCAAGCCAGGCUGCUCCUUCCCAAGAGCAGUCUGUGGAAUGAAUUCUUACACCGACCUAACGUAAUUGGGCUAAAAGAUCUGCCACACUCCUCCGAGGUCUUUGGGGAGGCUCCUGGGCUGGGCCUUUUGCUGUCCUUAGAAGGGGCCAUCAGGAUGUGUGAGUGGAAGUGAGAAAUGAGAUUUCCUGGGAAUAAUCCUCCUACAUGACACUCAGUGGCAUCUGUGAAAAGUCUCGUGUGCGCCGAGGGGAUACACGUGAGGGAGCGUGGAGAGACGUCUGGAGAGAGACCACGUCCUGUUAAUUUGCUCCAAAUUUGUGAGGGUUGGGUGGCCAGGCUGAUUGGAGAGAGAGGCAGUGCAGGCCUGGAUCACACAGCCAAGCUCAGCACUGUAUGGGGCAGAUCAGAACCCAUGCUGCAAAUAAGGUGAGGCAGAGCCCAUCCUGAGCCUCUGUAAAGCCACUCUCUGCACCGAGGGCUCCUAAAUUGGCUGUCACCUCCCAGGAAUCGGGUAAUUUUGUGACAACCCAAUGAGGACCUCUGCUUGAAAGCCCAGCUGUGACCAAAAAGGUGAGUAAAAAUGAGAGGCUUCACAGAAGAGACUGCAGAGAAGGAUGUCAGAAGUUUCACAAAGGCGUUAGACAGGCGGGGGGUGUCACCAUGACCUUGCACGGAGCGCUGUGGGCAGGGCUGCACAUCCCACCUCACAAAUGACAGUCACAGGCACGGAUCUGGAGGAGGCUGGGAAAAUAGCUCCAAGACUGGCAGACCCUGGGGCUUUUGUAUGCAGAAGCUUGGGCCCACCUGGCUUACAAAAUUCUGGGACUCUUAACUCCAGCUGAUUGUUUCUGGCGAUGACUGGAGCUAAAGUUUUGCUCCAGUGUUUGGGGAAGUCAACUGGACUUUGCCUGUUUGAAUUCUCUGACCUGCAGUGACAUGGGCUGGUUAAAACCUGACAAGGGAUGCUCUGAAGUAGAAAACUCCUGUCUAGAUCAGACCAGGAAGGUGUUUCCAGCUCCAUGCUGUGGGUCAGCGUUGUGCUGUCUGUAUUUCCUUAGGCAUCUGUUAACAAGCCACUGCUAAAUAGUGAUAAUCCUGCUGCUGCAAGCCCAGGUCUGAGUGUUUGCUACAGCAGGAUAAUGUCCCUGGCUAGAGAUGUGUUUGGAGCCUGUGCAAUGGCCCACUUAAAUCCACGUGAGACUUGAGGGGUCUUGGCAAAGGAGCAGCCUAAAUCAAAUUAGGAAGACAAGGGGAUGUUCCCAUGGGCCACUGCCUGGGAGUGAGCCCACAGGACUUGAAACAAUGAGGUUUCUUUUGCCACGGAACAGUAGAAAUAGGUAAUCCAGAUUAGUUGCUAAGUGCCUCCAGGAGGUAGGAUUAGUAGAAGGAAGAGUCUGCAGUACUCAGCUGGCAGAAUCUCACCAGGAAAAAGGUACGGACAUAACGGUGCCUUUGCAAGGGUCUGUCUGGUCUUAGAGGGCAAAUCAUGGGAAUGACCACAGAAACUCUCCAAAGGCCAUAGGAACGAUGUUUAUGUGUAUAGGAGGUGUCUGUGAGCCUGCACCACUUUGGCUCUCUCUCCAAAUGUCAUGAUCAAAGCACUGAAUUUAUUGAUUUUGGUGGUGUUUUGGCAUAAACUGUUUGCUGCAUCAGUGGAGGCUUUAAUUCACACAGACAACAUGGGUAAUAAAACGGUAUUUCAUAGGUCAGGAUGGUUUUCACUUUAGAGAACUGGCCAGAAAUGGAAAUUUCUGUUUGAAGAAGUUUAACUUCCCGGUUAUCCAGGUCCUACAUCUGUCAGAAAUUCUGAUGAAGUAUCAAAGAGAAAGCACCAUCUCUGCUCUGCCCUUCACGGGAGUAGAUUGGUUCUGCACAACACCAGUGCUCUGCAGCUCAGGGUACCUGUUUUGACUCCAUCCUUGGUUUAACAUAUUUAACCAUACCUUGUUCCUCUUCCCUCCCUGGGCAUCUUCCCUGUCUACUCUCCUAUCGAGCUCAUCGAGGUUGGGUGAUGCCAGACCUAAAAAGAAUGAACCUGUGCCUCACUUAAUCCCUGAUUCCAGGUGAACAUGGCAUCCUACUGUGGAUAAUACACCCCCUGGACACCGGGCACAGUGUUAGAGGGAAGAUCUCUGCUAUAUUCUCUGAAAACAUAAAGCUCUGGGACAUUGA